rnacentral:rRNA from 1 species
AGAAUCAACGCUGGCGGCGUGCCUAACACAUGCAAGUCGCACGAGAAAGGGGAGCAAUCCCUGAGUACAGUGGCGCACGGGUGAGUAACACGUGAAUUAUCUACCUCCGAGUGGGGAAUAACUGAGAGAAAUCUUAGCUAAUACCGCAUAACACUUACGAGUCAAAGCAGCAAUGCGCUUGGAGAGGAGUUCGCGGCCGAUUAGUUAGUUGGCGGGGUAAUGGCCCACCAAGACGAUGAUCGGUA